rnacentral:rRNA from 1 species
UACGUAGGGGGCAAGCGUUGUCCGGAUUCAUUGGGCGUAAAGAGCGUGUAGGCGGCCAGGUAGGUCGGUUGUGAAAACUGGAGGCUCAACCUUCAGAGGUCGACCGAAACCAUCUGGCUAGAGGCCGGGAGAGGAGAGUGGAAUUCCUGGUGUAGCGGUGAAAUGCGCAGAUAUCAGGAAGAACACCCGUGGCGAAAGCGGCUCUCUGGAACGGUACUGACGCUGAGACGCGAAAGCGUGGGGAGCGAACAGG